AUGAUGAAGGGUCAAUGCAUGCCGAGGCUAAAAAGCAACUCAUUCAAGAACAAGAUUCCGUCUCCGAUUACAUUGUUAGAGCGUUUCAGAGAAGCUGUUUUCCGAUUAAUGAUGAUGUCUGCAUUUUCAAAAACUAGUGCCAGCAAUCACGGUGGUUCAGGUGAUGGAGAGAGGCAAAUUCGUUAUAGCCAGUAUGAUACUCAUCACAAUAGCGAAGCUGUAGCAGAUUGCAUUGAGUUCAUAAAGAAAAAAGCUGUCCUUGAUAUAGAUGAAAACCUUCACUCUUGUGCUAGUAGCUCCCACAACACGUCGGAGAUACUGCAAUCGAGCAAUUGA